rnacentral:tRNA from 1 species
GGAGAGGUGGCUGAGCGGUUGAAAGCGGCAGUCUUGAAAACUGUUGAGGGGCAACCCUUCCAGAGUUCGAAUCUCUGCCUCUCCGCCA